GGGACCACAUGACUCAGGCUGCUCUUGCUGGGGAGGAGUCCUAACGCUUGCCGGCUCCUGUGCUGCAGAGGGCACGGAUACGACAAGCGGCUGGGGCACGGCCUCACCGGGGACAGUUCCUCAUCAUCUCAUUUUCAAACCACAACUCAGCCAGUCUCUCGGCUGGGGAAGGCCAACUCCCACCUCCAUCCCCUCGUGUGACCAGGUGGAUGUCCAUCAGAUGGCCAAAACACCGGCAUCCAUCAUGACAAAGGCACGGAUUUGUUUUGCCUGGAGUACUGCUAACCAACUCACCCCGCUUCCCGCUGCUUUGCUGCUCAGUGCACACGCCAAGAGGCACUCACCUUUCGGGCAGGCACUGCAGGUUCUUAAUAAAUCUUUUUACCUGAAAGUGGAGCUGAUGCCUCUUGGCACUUGGGGUGAACUGGGCAGCCAGACUGAUUUCCUUGAGAUGGUGGUGAUGCAGUGUUGGGCUGGUGGAAACAAAAGUGGGUGGUGGUAUCAGCCACUGCAGCCAGAAGAGCUGAUGCCAAGCAGCCCCGAGCUGGCUCCCUGUGCCAGGGUUGCAGUGGAGAUCUGCAAACGCUCCCCUUCUAAUACAGCACCGUGCAGCCAAAAGGCACAACCCUUGCAGUGGUUUUCCCCUCUCUCCUUGUGGUCUAUCUUGAUCAUUUGUCCCGCCAGCCACCUCCCCGACACAUGCUGACCCUUGCUGCUCUGCAGCUCCUGGCGUGGCACGCAUGGUGGCAGGCCUUGCCCAGGA
rnacentral:lncRNA from 1 species